AUUGAACGCUGGCGGAAUGCUUUACACAUGCAAGUCGAACGGUAGAGGGGGCAACCCCUUGAGAGUGGCGAACGGGUGAGUAAUAUAUCGGAACGUGCCCAGUCGUGGGGAUAACGUAGCGAAAGUUACGCUAAUACCGCAUACGAUCUAAGGAUGAAAGCGGGGGAUCGCAAGACCUCGCGCGAUUGGAGCGGCCGAUAUCAGAUUAGGUAGUUGGUGAGGUAAAGGCUCACCAAGCCAACGAUCUGUAGCUGGUCUGAGAGGACGACCAGCCACACUGGAACUGAGACACGGUCCAGACUCCUACGGGAGGCAGCAGUGGGGAAUUUUGGACAAUGGACGCAAGUCUGAUCCAGCAAUGCCGCGUGCAGGAUGAAGGCCUUCGGUUGU
rnacentral:rRNA from 1 species